rnacentral:lncRNA from 1 species
UUUUUUUUUUUUUUUUUUUUUUUUUUUUUGUCUUUUUGGGACCACACCCACGGCAUAUGGAGGUUCCCAGGCGAGGGGUCGAAUCUGAGCUGUAGACACCAGCCUACGCCACAGUCACAGCAAUGUCAGAUCCUUAACCCACUGAGCGAGGCCGGGGAUCAAAACUGCCACCUCCUGGUUCCUAGUUGGAUUUGUUUCCACUGCACCAUGAUGGGAACUCCAGUAUGAUUAAUUUUUGACUGAUGUGCAGACAUUUUAUUAAUUAUGAGGCUAUGGAUGUGCUGCUGUUAUCUUUUCUCUGCCUCUUUUCUUUUCCUCCUACUCCCACCCCUUUUAACAAAAGCUCAAGUAGGACUAGGGAAAAAUUGUUUCCUCACAGACGGAAUAUUGUACCUCAUGUGGCACAUUUAAAUUCUCCAAGGAGAAAGGACUCUCCAUUAAAGUGUCCUUAUGAGUCACAGGCAGUAGUGAGGCUGAGAUACUCCCCUGUUCCCUUCCAUUCAUCAUCUCCUAACGUCACUAACUUUCUGGAGUAUGAAAGCAGCUCCACCCCUUGCCAGGACCAUCACUCUCCAAUAAUACUCAACCAUAACUCACUAGUGAAGCUUAAUUGGGGAGGAGGCAAUUCUGAGUUAGGUAUCACCAAAGUACUAUUUUGAAAGAAAUGCAGGUUUAUGGACUUCAAUUGUAGGUUUAAUUCAAAACUAUGGCCAGAACUAAAAAUUUAAGGAUUUAUUUAAAUCCAUCAGUUUAGAGAUCUGGUAUAGAUCACAGCUGCAGCUUGGAUUGGAUUCCUGGCCUGGGAACUUCUAUAUGCCUUGGGUGCAGCUGAAAAAAGAAAAAAACACUUUAAAAAUUGCUUGUUUUCUUGAGUUGGUCAACCAAUACUUUAAAAAUCCUGUUUAUUUAUUCCCUUAGCAAAGCUCAAAUAAAUUUCAACAUAACCCUUCUCUGAAUUUUCAAAAAUUCGCAAGUAGUGGAAUCCACAUUAGAAGCUUGAAAAUAUGUGAUGUUUCCACUUAAAGAGCAUUGAUUAAGCUGCUUUGCACUGUGUGCACUAAACUCUGGCUUGGCACAGUUGUUCCAUGAUCUAAAAUCUACUAUGACUAUUUUCUGGGUGAGUCAUUUGCCAUAAAAUUUAACAGUCUGUAUUACCUGUUGGUUUGAGUUUAUGAUCUGUAAAUACUAUGCCUUAGCUCCUUGAAUAUUGAUUUCUUUUUCUUUUUCAUAGUUCAUUUGGACUUUCAUUGAUUAAGCUCUGGUUGUACAAAGUGCUUCCUGAUAGUAAAGAUUCAAAGCACUGUACCCAUUUUAACAUAAUAUUGUUGAACAUGUUUAUGCUUAAACAUGACUGAGAGUUGCAAAGUUUGACCUAGAAUAAUACAAUUAUUAGACUUCGAAGCUACUUUAAGAAAACCCAGGACAAUCUUGUAGAAGAAUUGGCUCACUGUUUUACAAAUGGCAUUUGAAAUUCAGAGAACAAUUCAAGCUUGGAGCAAAUGGAAAAUCAAAGGUAGUUUAGAUCAAUUACCCUCACUGUACAAGAUGUUUAUGUGUUGAUAGUUUAUAUCUCUACCCCUAGAUCAAUUCAGCUAUUUUACUGGCUAAUUCUUGCAUUUAUGAUUCAUAAAAUACAAAUUUGUUUCCUUUUAUGGAGGGAAAGUGUAGUAUGGGGGCGGGGGAGGAGCUGCCGUCAUUUCACCUUGAAGCCUAACAGUAUAAAUUCCAUAUGCAAUGAAAUAGUAAGUUUUUAAAAAUAAAGGUUACUUGUUUUUUGAGAGCUGAGGCAGUAGUGUAUUUUUUUUUUAACUUUAUAAAGAUUGAGAGAUUGAUAAUUCUUCAGCCCUCUCUGCACUCAGCAUUGAACCAACUAAAAAAGAGAGAAAUCAAAACAUCAGUUUAGAGUGUGUUCCUCCAGGAAUAUAGUCCCUUCAAGACGUAAUUUUUAAUAAAAAAUGUAAAGUGAUCACAGCACCAACUGAAUACUCUCAACAUUUAGAAAAUAUAAAAAUCUCCAGCUGCUCCUAAUUUUAUCUUAUGACCAGAUACAGGCACUGGCCAUCGUCCCUUUGGUAGCUACAAGCCACAUAACUGUUGAUUCUCCAAAUGUGGUUGCUGUGACAGAUACUUUUAUUUUAAAAAAAAAAAGUAUAAUUUUAGUUUACAAUUUAAAUGUAAAUUUAAAAUUCGAUACUCAAUUCACUAUUGGAAGACUUUUAAGUUGAUUUGAAAAAAUGUGGGUAGGUGAAUCUACCUUUCCAACUGUAAGUUGUAUGAAAUCUAAAUAUUUGUCAAUUAUUUCCCAUUAAAAUGGUUUGGGAUUGGUAAAUGCAAACUAUUACAUUGAGAAUGGCUAAGCCGUGAGGGCCUAUUGUACAGCACAGGGAACUAUAUCCAAUCUCUUGAGAUACAACAUGAUGGAAGAUAAUAUGAGAAAAAGAAUGUGUGUAUAUAUGUAUAUGUGCAUGUAUGUAUAUAUAUAAAUGACUGGGUCACUAUGCUAUACAACAGAAAUUGGCACAGUGCUGUGAAUAAACUAUAAUUUUUAAAAAAUUAAGGGGCCAAAUUAAGAUGUGCUGUAAGCAUAAAAUAUAAGAUUUCAAAUACAUUCCUUUCAAAAAGAAAUGUUAAAUAGUUCAAUAAUAAUUAUUUACAUUGACAACAUAUUGAUUAUUUUGGAUACAUGGGGUUAAACAAAACAUUAAAAUUAACUUUUAAAUUUUUUUUUUGCCUUUUAGGACCACAUCUGCGGCGUAUGGAAGUUCCCGGGCUAGGAGUCAAAUUGGAGCUACAGCUUCUGUCCUGCACCACGGCCACAGCAAUGUGGGAUCCAAGCCGUGUCAGUGACCUACACCACAGCUAACAGCAACACCAGAUCCUAAACCCACUAGGGCCAGGGAUCGAACCCACAUCCCUCAUGGAUACUAGUCAAGUUCAUUACUGCCACAAUGGGAACUCCCUAAAAUUCUUUUUUUUUUUUUUUUUCACUGUUUUUUACUGGGAUUACUAGAGAAUUUUUGAUUACUAAUGUGGCUUCCAUCUUUUCUUUUUUUCCCUCGUUUUAUUUCUACUAAAUACACUCUAAAUAUGAUGUGGAUCCAGACUCUGCUUGGCAGGUAGGAAUCGUGGUAGAGAACUAAGUUGUGUCUGGGGAAGGAGAAUCGACUGAAAAGAGUAGGGAGGAAGAGAAAAUCUUCUGGCUUUUGGCUUCUCUGGAGGCUGACUGGUCUAGGCUACUCCAUGCCCCUGCAUAGCCUCUGAACCUGAACUUAAGCAGAAGGAAUUUCCUGCUGGGUAUUUGUUCCUUCCAAAACCAAGGCUUUCAAAGCUGAUUGGCAUCUUUGCUUGUUGUUUCUCCCCUAAAUUUGCCUUCUUGAAGCAUAUACUUCGUCUAGGCUUUGGAUAAUAUUAACUAUUCAAAUUGCCACAUAAAAAUCCCCUUUUACCAUCGAUUUUCCUACUGACACAUGACUUUGCUUUCCCUGGAAAGAAAAGUGUAAAAAAUGAAACACCUCCCAAUGCCAAGCCCUCCAGAAAUCUUACACUCAUAGUCUAGUGGAGACAACACAGAAGAUUGUCUCUCUGGUACUUGAAAUGAAGUUCUGCUCAUGCUGAUUUGAACACGUUCCUUUUCUAACGAAAAUCCUGCCUUCUCUACGUGGACUUGGAUGCCCCCAUGGAAGUGACGCUACCUCUCCAGUCCAAGUUCCCUGGGAGAAACUUUCCUGCCCUAAUGAAUUAUUGCUUUCCCUGCCCUAUAUCCAAACCCUACCUCAUAGUCUGAGGUCCAGGAAACCAUCUGGAUCACGAAGAUAAAUGCCUUUGCUAAAUUGAGGCAUGACUUGGUACCUUGCUCACCUCAUCAGCUGAGCUCAGCCUGGGUGAGUUUCUGCUGCCUUCUGCUCAGCUGGAGUUCUUAACCUCAACCAAAUAUUAGAAUUGACCGAAUCACCAUUAAAAAGAAAGAAGGCCCAGGCUUAGGCCAGGCAAAAUCCACUAGUACCUCAGCAGCUAUCGGAGGACCUGAAACGAGGUUGGCCAACCUGUGAAUUCACUGAAUGGUUUUGUAUAUUCCUCAUCACUCUUUUUCUUGGUUAAUUUACUUGAAGCCUGUAGCCAAAAUAAAAUAUGUAAAAUUAAAAAGGGAUAUUUCCUGUAUUUUUGACAUCAACUAAAUUGAACAAUAGUCUUCCCCUGUGUGACAUUAUUACACGUUUCUGUAUAAUGGCCAUGUUAAUGUUAUUGUUUUACUGUGUUUGAAAUGCAUCUUCAAAUGGAUUCUCUCUAGUUUCCCUUAAGGUUAAAAGAUUCAGGUAUCUGAAAAUCACACUAUGAAGACAAUGCAUUAGAAUUGCAGAUUGCAAAAGAUUUUAAAUGCUUAAUUUGAAAAUAUUUUGCUUUUUUAUAAAAUUAAACUUGCUUAUUGAGGAGUUCCUAUCAUGGCUCAGUGGUUAACGAAUCCGACUAGGAACCAUGAGGUUGCAGGUUCGAUCCCUGGCCUUGCUUAGUGGGUUAAGGAUCUGGCAUUGCCGUGAGCUGUGGUGUAGGUCACAGACACGGCUCGUAUCCCAAGUUGCUGUGGCUCUGGCGUAGGUCGGUGGCUACAGCUCCGAUUCGACCCCUAGCCUGGGAACCUCUAUAUGCCACGGGAGUGGCCCAAGAAGUGGCAAAAAGACAAAAAUCUCCAUAUCAGAAUUUGCUAGACAACACGUGGCCAAGAACUUAACUUCACGAGAAGGAAUUCCACUCUCAAUACUUGUUAUUAAUUAAAAGCAGGGAUUCUAAGGAUUGACACAGAUAUUUGCCUCUAAGAAGCAAAGCCCACCUAGCAUUUAGAGGCUAAAUUUCAGAAAUAGAACUGUGGCACAAGGCAGCUAAACUUGAAUGGAAUAAAAACAGACAGAACACUGGAAAAAUAAGGGAAUCUCUCCAUUUGAAUAUACAUUUAUAUUUAUACAGUUUACACUCCAGCAACAGUGAUUUGCAUCUGGUACAGACAUUGUACCUGUUAUUAACACACAAGUCAUGUGAGUCACAGCAAGAACACGCACAGUAUUAAUUCGCUUCAGAGACUGUACUCUGAGAAGUUUUUCCAGUUCUAACUGCAUGAUAUGGU